UACGUAGGUGGCAAGCGUUGUCCGGAUUUACUGGGCGUAAAGGGCGUGCAGGCGGUUUGUUAAGUCUAGGGUGAAAGCUCCCGGCUCAACUGGGAGAGGUCCUUGGAUACUGGCGAACUUGAGGGAUGCAGAGGAAAGUGGAAUUCCCGGUGUAGUGGUGAUAUGCGUAGAUAUCGGGAGGAACACCAGUGGCGAAGGCGGCUUUCUGGGCAUUUCCUGACGCUGAGACGCGAAAGCGUGGGGAGCGAACAGG
rnacentral:rRNA from 1 species